rnacentral:rRNA from 1 species
GACGAACGCUGGCGGCGUGGAUUAGGCAUGCAAGUCGAACGGUAUCAUCCUUUCGGGGGUGAGAGAGUGGCGAACUGGUGAGUAACACGUAGGUUAUCUACCCUCAAGACGGGGACAACCCAGGGAAACUUGGGCUAAUACCGGAUGUGAGCAACUUUUAGUUGUUUGAAAGGUGGCGUAAGCUGUCGCUUGGGGAUGAGCCUGCGUCCUAUUAGUUAGUUGGUGAGGUAACGGCUCACCUAGGCAAUGAUAGGUAGGCGGCCUUAACGGGUGGUCGCCCACACUGGGAUUGAGAUACGGCCCAGACUCCUACGGGAGGCAGCAGUCGAGAAUAGUCUACAAUGGUCGGAAGACUGAUAGUGCGACGCCGCGUGAACGAUGAAUCCCUUCGGGGUGUAAAGCUCUUUUAUAUGUGAGCAGUGCUUCUUAUAUUAAACAGUAUGGGGAGAGAGAUAUUAGCAUAUGAAUAAGCAACGGCUAACUCCGUGCCAGCAGCCGCGGU